ACGAUGGCAUCGACGACGGGUCAGAGCAGAAGGGAAACAUUACCAUAAUGUUUUUUUAUCUUUGAACGUCUUUUUUUGGGUGCAGUGAUUUUAAUCAAGUCUUUAUGUUUUUGGUGAUAUGCACAUACAUCAAGAAGAACAAUGUAUGCAAACAUCUAAGAACUUUGUCCUACAUGCACUAAAUAUUUUGAAUAUUGAUAAGUGUUAGAUCUUAUUGCAUAUUCAAAACAUUUUAUAUUUGUUAUUUCAUUAAUAAAUACAUCAUUUAAUGAAUUAUUCAACAUAUAUGAUCAUCAAAUAGUGUAAAAUAUUAUAUGCUUUAUCAAAAACGGUUUGAGAUAUGCAGUGUUUAGGGUCUUUUGUUAGAUGAUACAUUUCAUAAUACAUUAUUUCUUAAAUUAACACUAUUGUGAAUAAAACACAUUUUAAGCUUCUGUGUUAUCAUAGAGAUAAGUGUUUUUGUUCAUAAAACACUAGCUUGUAAGACAUUGUUUGUUUAGGAAUUUAGAUGUUGUUUAUAAAAUGUUGUCUAUUAGAUGAUUCAAUAAGAGAGACACUUCCUUUUAUUAGACGUUGUUCAUAAACCUUUGUCUUGACAGUCUAAGAUUGAUGAAUACCUUCUUCAAGAAAUAAUUGAAGACAUCGCCCAACCUCUACUCACAUCACUCCCCACUUCACCUUAGUCUUCUCCCCACACUUGCAAACCAACCCAACAAAUCACCACAACUACCUUAUCCAACCAAUCUCUUCAAACAAUCACAUCCAUCCCUAACCCUUAACCACUCUACCCCAAAUCCUGAAGUACCAUCUGACCCAGCUUCUCUUGCCCUAGUACAACACAUGCAUAAUCUUAUUAACACUCUGCCAAUACUAAUGCAGAACUUGCUGUUAUACGAGCUUAACAAAAUGAAAAGUUCUUGGAAGUGGUCAACACCCUCCAUAACAUCACCCAAAAGUUAUUCCUUUUGCCUACACUAACCACCCUACCAGCACCACCACCAUCACCUCCUUCUGGGCUAUGAUGUUCUUUCAAUACCCUUUUUUAUUUUAAUCAAAUAAUGGGGGAAAAUAAAUAUGCUAAACACUAAUUAGAUAUCCAAAGGGGGAACUAGGGAGAGUACACCCUUGUUACUUUUUCAAAACAUUGAACAUCUAUUUUGAAAACACUUUUUAUAAUCAUCUACUAUGAUACAAAUUUAUCAUAUCCUGAUUCUAAUCAUAUUAUUUCAUUUUCUAUGAUAUUGCUUAUGCAUUUGCUCUGGUAUACAUGAAACUCUGAUAUACUUAUGCACUGCAUAAAUGAUUUAUGACUUAUGGAAGUCAUACAUCAUCCACUUUGAUCAUGAAUAAUAUGCUAUGAUAUUAGUAUGACUAAAAUGAUCAAACCAUCACUAUUAAAUUUGCUCUAAGUCAUAUUUGAUCUUGCCAAUAAAUAUUGCCCACAUACUCGAUAACUAACUAACUAUAUAUAUAUAUAUAUAUAUAUAUAUAUAUAUAUAUAUAUAUAUAUAUAUAUAUAUAUAUAUAUAUAUUGUUCAGACUAUGAGAUAAGUAAAUGAUCUAAAAAGUUAUAAUCAUGCUAUGAACAACAAUUCUAAGUUUUUUAAAUCCUUAGACUUUAAUUGUCACCGUCUAAACCUUUUCAAAAACCUCAAAAAUAUAUUUCAUGUUUAUUUGUUAAACAUAAAAAUAGGAGACUUUGACUCCAAAAUAUCUAUCCACAUUCCAUGUUUAUCUUUUUCCAAACAUCAUUUCUACUUUCUUAAUAAAGUUAUGUUGAAAGCUUCUAAAUCUCUAAUCCCUAUGUCACCUUCUUUAGAUUUAAACAUAUUUUCCUAACUCACCGUUUCAAUUUUCCUACAAUUGUAUCCCCAACCUUUGUUGUGCCAUCGCCACAUUGUCAUCAUGCCACCACCACUCCACCGUCACACC
rnacentral:lncRNA from 1 species